GUCUCUUCGGGGAAAUAUGAUAAAAUUGGAACGACACAUUGAAGAUUAGCAUGUCCCAUGCGUAAAGGAGUUCAUAAUCUAAAAUGUGAAUUAGUUUU